UACAGAGGGUGCGAGCGUUAAUCGGAUUUACUGGGCGUAAAGCGUGCGUAGGCGGCUUUUUAAGUCGGAUGUGAAAUCCCUGAGCUUAACUUAGGAAUUGCAUUCGAUACUGGAAAGCUAGAGUAUGGGAGAGGAUGGUAGAAUUCCAGGUGUAGCGGUGAAAUGCGUAGAGAUCUGGAGGAAUACCGAUGGCGAAGGCAGCCAUCUGGCCUAAUACUGACGCUGAGGUACGAAAGCAUGGGGAGCAAACAGG
rnacentral:rRNA from 1 species